rnacentral:misc_RNA from 1 species
GCCAUGCCUUUGAAAAUGGAACAAUGAAAACAUCAAUCACCAACAAUAGUUCUCACAAAGAUAAAAAAAACUAUUACAUCUCAAUACAACAAGAAAAAGAAGACUAACACUAUCAUGAAGAUAAGAGCUGCAGUAUGAGACUCAUUUGGCUCAACUUUUUCGACGAUGAAUCAACUCCCAACCUACUUUUAUUAAGUUAAUGUUACACAAUACAUGACACAUCCCAUCUUUAGAUCUCCGAAAAUGAUUUGACUGUCCUGAACUCGUGACUAUCUGGAAGAGGUCCGUUUCCUGGUCUGAUAGAGAUUAUCACUUCCAAACCUGCUGCCUUUGCAGCUGUGGCUUCUUGAUAGACAUCUGUCACAAACAAAAUCUCUGAUGGAU